GUUUUUCUUCUGAUUAUUUUUUUUUUUUCUUCUGCGUCUAAGAUGCUUUUUUGUUUUACAACAUAUCGAUUGGAUGUUUGGCCAAUGGUGUUGUUCAGUAAUGGAGGUUUCAAAACUCACCCUGUGUGACCGAACACUUAUUCUUAUAGGAGUUAUCUCCCCGCGUCCCCUUUUUCUUGUUAUCGCUAUAUCUCAAAAACCGUAUAAGAUUUUUACAAAAUGUUUUCACCAAAUUGUUUGUCUACUCUUAAAAAUGAUUUGUUUUACUUCGACUGGGGUGAUCAGAAGACAUCUCAUGGGAGUUAUUUCCCUUUGAAAAUUUAAAAUAAACGAUAUGUUGGGUUAAUUCAUACAGUAUAAGUUGUAGAGGCCUCCAGUCUUUUGAUAUGAAGUGCUUGGUCCAUAUAACGGAAAUUGAGGUCAAGGUCAAAGGUCAAGGUCAUGUUAUAAAUUUUGAAUUUUGCUUGUUAUCGUUAUUCAAAAGAAACUGUAACAGUUGAUGAUAUGAUAUGUUUGCAAAAUCACUGUUUACAAUAAGGCGCAUUUUCAACUUAUUCAGUCGAAGUGUUUUGGUUAACCCUUAUAGGAGUUUUCUCCCCUUAUGUAUUUGAAAUCGUUAUUUCUCCACAA
rnacentral:lncRNA from 1 species